AGGCUCACAGUGUCAGGAGUGUAUGUAUAUUUUGAGGUGAAGCCAGAAGGAGAUUACCAAUUAGAAGUCUGGGAGGUCCCUGAGUGAUUGCUGAUGAUUCAUCAAUGCAUAUAAUGAGGAUGUGAAAGCAAAAGGCUGAAACCCCUUCAGACAAAAGAUCUGUGGAAAAGAAGUUUCAACAUGCUUGGAGAAGAGAGACCAAGCUUUUUGUGCCUGAUUUUCACUUUGAUCCCCACCAUCGUUCAGUGUGCCACAGAAGCCUACAACAUUGCCAGAAAUUUGAAGUGCUACACUGACUACACAACAGAGAUAGACUGCCAAUGGGUGGAAAAUGCAAAGGCAAGAGAAUAUAUUCCAAUGGAAUUACAUUACAGGAAGGAGACAGAGUCCAUGAGAAAGUACCC